rnacentral:rRNA from 1 species
UACGUAGGGGCCUAGCGUUGUCCGGAUUUAUUGGGCGUAAAGAGCUCGUAGGCGGUUCGGUAAGUCAGGUGUGAAAUCUCCACGCUCAACGUGGAGGCGCCACCUGAAACUGCCGUGACUCGAGUCCGGUAGGGGAGUGUGGAAUUCCUAGUGUAGCGGUGAAAUGCGCAGAUAUCAGGAAGAACACCUAUGGCGAAGGCAGCUCUCUGGGACGGUACUGACGCUGAGACGCGAAAGCGUGGGGAGCGAACAGG